GUCUCUGUUUAUUGACAACAUAGAUGAUAUGGUGUCUCCCCCGGAGGAGCUGCUUCAACAUCUUUCCCCUCUCCACAAUUUGAAGUGCUCUGGUUUGGCAACAUCACCACACUGGAUAGGCAGCCUCACCUCACUUGCUGAAUUAGAGAUCAGUGAUUGCCCAGACUUGACAUGCUUAGAACUGCCGUCAUCUCCGUGUCUUUCUAGUUUAAAGGUCAGUGAUUGCCCAAACUUGACAUGCUUAAAACUGUAGCCAUAUCCUUGUCUUUCUAGUUUAAAGAUUGGAAAGUGCCCAAAGUUAGCAUCCUUCGAAGUGGCUUCAUUACCUUGUCUUGAGAAACUAAGCCUGGGUGGACUUGGAGCAAAGUUACCGUCAAAGUUAGUCUCCGUCUUUGCUUCUUCUUCAUUGAAGUCUCUGUAUAUGAUAUCUAUCCCGGAGGAUCUGCUUCAACAUCUUUCCACUCUCUAAACUCUCUACAUUUUGAAAUGCUCUCGUUUGGCAACGUUACCACACUCGAUAGGCAGCCUCAUCUCACUUACAGAGCUUGGAGUUCAUGAAUGCCGUCAAUUGAAAUCACUACCAGAAGAGAUGCGUUCCCUUAAAAACCUGCAGAAAUUCUAUAUCUGGGAUUGUCAACAUCUAGAGAAAAUAUGCCGACAGAAAACAGGGGAAGACUGGCCCAGGAUUGCUCAUAUCCCACAUAUUGAUUUCUACACUGAUCAACGAAUAACAAGGGAGCUCCGAAAUCCCUAACCUUUCUUCUCAUUUUUAUUAUUUUUUCGAUCAAAAUGCAAGGUUUUCUCAUUCUGUCUUGGUAAUUCUUUUAUAUUGGCACUUCAUAUGUUUGUUGAAAUGCUCACAUCAGUAAAUCGAUUUUUUUUUCCAGACCAUAUAUACAGUCGAUGAUGAUAUGCACGAAACUCAUCAUUUUACUUGGAGUUGAGGUGAGAUUUGAUAUGAUAUCUCUCCCAGAGGAGCCGAUUCAACAUGUUUCCAUGAUCUAAAGUCUCAACAUUAGACAUCGCUCUGUUUUUGCAACAUUACAACACUGGAUAGGCAGCCUCCCGUCAGGUACAGAACUUGGAAUUCAUGGCUGCCAGAAGGUGCUAUGAUGUCUCCCAGAGGAGCUGCCUCAACAUGUUUCCAGGAUCCAAACUCUCAAAAUUGAAUACUGCACUGGUUUUGCAAUAUUCCUGCCCUGGAUUGGUCGCUUCACCUCACUUAUGGACCUUCAUAUUUGUGACUGCGCUGAAUUGGCAUCACUUUCGGAAGAGAUGCAUUCCCUCAAAAACCUUCUGACACUAAAAAAUCUUUCAUUGUCAGCACCUGCUUGAAGAUGCCAAAAAGAAACAUUUCAGGUUCAAGAACACAGAGAGCUAUACUUGGUGGAGAUUUCAUCAAUAUAGAGAGACAUUUUAGAUUUCAACUUGCUUAAGACGCUUGUGAUUAUUUCUUCUUGGCUCAACCUGAAAUCAUUGCCUACGUUCUUCCAUUUGCUACCUCAAAAUCACCUACCAAAAGUUUUGGAUUGCCUAAAAAUUUUCUCAUGGCCCAUAAAUUCGUAUAUAUCAGAUGGCUAUAUAUUUCAGGUCCUGCUUUCCUUAGAAAUCAGGUCUACUCUCUGCCAUAUAUUUCAGGCUGAUGUCUCUAUAUUUGGAAAUUCAGAGAGUUGCAAAUUCCAAGGACUUACAAGAUUGAGUCGCUGUCUCUACCAUUAGGGCUUCAACAAGUUACCAUUCUUGAAAUUCUAAAAAACAUCAGAUUGCCUCAUCUUUGAAUCGAAAUCACUCCCAGAAGGAUGUGCUUCCCAACACUCUCAUGGGCUCUUUGACUUUGCCAUCUACAAUAUAUCAGAGUGAGUUCAGAAGACGAGAUUUGAAGGACGGUGUUAGUGGGUUUUGGUGGGAAUGUAGAUUUGGUGGACCUAAUGCUACUGCUGUCUGGUUUUAAGAAAAGAGGGUUGCAGUGACGACUGACGAGAAUGAGGUAAUUUUGGGUGGUGAAUGGAGAAAGAGACGAAUUUGAGGUUGAGGGUUUGAUGAAGGAAGCUAUGUUGUGUGUAAGUGUUGCCAAGUCAAAGCAAUGCCAGAUAGUGAUGUAGUUGUGACACCUUACUUCUCUAAAGCAACUCGAAAGUGGGGAUUGUUGCCUACCACAUCUCAUUUCGGGAAAGUUGUGUUUAUAGGCUAUGAUAUGGGAAAUAUAUGGUUUUGGAAACCCAUAUAAGUGAAAUAUGAGAUAUGCCUGUAAUAAGAAAAAUAUUAUAGGUUUCAUACACUAUUUACUGUUCAAAUUUUUAUUUUCGAAAUUACCCUUUA